CGCCCAUCUCGGCGAUCGGACCCCGGCGGCUACGACUCACCGCAAUGAGAAGAAAUUGAAAUCGCCUUUGGGCACCUCCUUGCCUUUCCCUCCUCGCUGUUGAUCGACAGCACUGAGCUGAAUGCAUAAGCCCUAAGCCUGUCUGCACGUACACUGCUAAGAGAAAAGGUAUGUAAACUGCAUGAAGAUCUGUACACCUCGGAGCAGCUCCACGAGAGCAUUCUGCUGAAGUUUCCAAGAGCCGGCGUUCCUCACUUUGAUUAUUGAAUAAACUCCUUCAUUAGUAUCUACCCAAACUUUUUUUCAGUCAACAGGCAUCUGAGAAUGAUUAAAUGAUGAGAUAUGCUA